UACGAAGGGGACUAGCGUUGUUCGGAAUCACUGGGCGUAAAGCGCACGUAGGCGGCUUUGUAAGUUAGAGGUGAAAGCCCAGGGCUUAACCCUGGAAUUGCCUUUAAGACUGCAUCGCUAGAAUCGUGGAGAGGUGAGUGGAAUUCCGAGUGUAGAGGUGAAAUUCGUAGAUAUUCGGAAGAACACCAGUGGCGAAGGCGACUCACUGGACACGUAUUGACGCUGAGGUGCGAAAGCGUGGGGAGCAAACAGG
rnacentral:rRNA from 1 species